rnacentral:lncRNA from 1 species
GCUAGAGCCUAUCUUCUGAAAAACUAAAAAGUGAGGAUAUUUAAAAAUAUAUAUUCAAAUACAUUUUGAAUACUCUCUUGCUUUUUGUUCCUUUUUAUAGAAUCAAAUAUCCAUUUGACAUCAACUUACCUCUUCUUGGAGAAUUUUCUUUAAUAUCUAGUCAAUUUAUCAAUGGACUACCUCUUUUGCUAAUUUUCAGACUUUCACUAAAUCGAAAGUAGUUUGAACUCUUAUUUGGUAAAUGAAAUUAUAUGGAAUAUACAAGCAAAUAUCUGCAGUCAUUUAAUAGCAGCUUACUAGUAUUCUAAACGAAUGCUGUGAAUUUAGAUUUAUAACUUGGGAGCAAACUGAAAGACAAAUUCUGUUUUAUGUGUUUUGUGAGUUAUAUAUUAAUUUAAUGCAUAAUCUAAAAUAUAACUUGAAUUUUUUUGUGGGGAAAAUAAACCUAUAUAUUGAGCCAAAGUAGCAACCCCUCUUCGGGGCCUGCCAAACACCCCUCAGCCUACCAUGAAAAUAAACACAGAUCUUGAGUUCCUUUAAAGGAAAUUCUAGCUAUCUAUCUAGCCUCCUGAGCAACUUGAUAAGCAAUAAGAUAAUAGUAGCUUGUCACAAUAGCCAAGGAAGUUAGAGUCAGGAAAUGUUUUGUUCAUAUAGAAACUAAAGAAAACAUUUUAUGUUUUUUUUUUUUUUUAACUUUUAGGUUCGGAGGUACAUGUGAAGGUUUGUUACACAGGCAAAUGUAGCUUGAAUUCAUUAAAAGCUCCUGGAAUUUGAUCAGCUGGAAGAAAUGCCAAUGCAAAUGCAUUUUGGAACUGAAACUUUUAUCAUGCCAUAUUGCAUGACCAAUCCACAAGUGUAAAUUUUCUGCCAAAUGCAAAUAAAGACAAUCACAAGAAUUACAUAAUUGGAGGUAAGAUUAAGAUUAUUUGGGAACACUGAAUAGGCAAGACUGGAAGUAAGAAGACCAAAUGAAAAAUUCUCACAGUAGUACAGAAGAGGAACAGUUACAAACUGGGAUGGAUGGUGCCCAGCACAGCAUUGAACUCUGCAAAAGUACUUAGUCUUCAAUAAAAUAUUGAAUUACCCUGGUAAGACUGGAACACUUUGUCUUCUUUCUAAUCCCUGGGGAAAAGUGGUCUGUAUUUCACUAUUAAAUAAUAUAAUGCUAGCUGCAGGAUCUUUGGGAUUUCUCUUAUGUUUUAUAUUUAAUUUAUAAGGUUGAAAAAUAUAUCCGUAUUCCUGCUUUAUUGAUUUUUAUCAUGAAUGUUUGGUGAAUAUUCUCAAAUGUCUUUCUGCAUCUUUUGUGGCUGUCAUAAAAUGUUCCUCCUUUUUAUUAAGGGAAUAAAUUAACCCAUUUAUAUAGGUUUUUUUUUCAUGUUAAGACAAGUUUGUCUUCUCUGGGUU